AGCAGUAAGGUGGAAGCGUCAGGUUAUAAAUGACCCUGUCUCCUUUGUUCAGUGUACUCUCAUGGCAAAACUGCUGGUGAGUGUACCCUUUCUGCAGAAAGUAUAAAAAUAGCUUUGCUGAGAUUUAUGUUCAAGUGCUAUUUCUUUACAGCACUGAAGAACAAGCGUUUCAAACAGAUAUCACGGCACAAUUGCCACUGUCUGCUCUUCCCCCUGGCAGAGUUCCAUGUGGGUGAAAGAGAUAAUCCAGUAUAUAUCAAAUGCCUGAGCAUAGUAGAUGCUAACUAAAUUGUCAUUCUAUUCUUAUUCUACAGUAAUUUGCAAGCAGAUGGAACUUCAAUAUGGCAAUAGAGAAAGAAUCAAUUAGACCAGAGUCUCCUCAGGAAGACUUUCUAUAGGUUAAACAAGUGUUUGUGGUUGCUGUGGAGCAUGUGAGAAUGAUGGAAGGAGUUCGGCAGUCACCACUGAUGAUUGAGCACACCCUGCAUGCAUGGUCCUGUGCAGGAUGAAGCUGUCCCUGGUCAGGGAGCUGCAGAACCACAGCUCCUGCAGAAUGGGUGAAAGCUGAGCUCAUCAUAUGGAACUGUCCAAGGUACAACACCAGCACGUGGCUGCUUCAGCAUCUUAUCCUUGAGGAGUAGGCUCUGAAGUUCAAGAAACACAGGGUCAAGGUUUUGCUUAGCAGACUGGCCUUAGACCCUUGGGAAUCCCCCAGAGUCUGGAGCCCAGGACAAGAGUGUCUGGUGGGAGAGCAGUGAGGCCCAGGAAGGGAGCCAAAAAAUGUCCCUCAGGGCCGGGCGCGGUGGCUCACGCCUGUAAUCCCAGCACUUUGGGAGGCCAAGGCAGAUGGAUCACCUGAGGUCAGGAGGUUGAGACCAGCCUGGCCAACAUUGUGAAACCCCGUCUCUACUAAAAAUACAAAAAAUUUGGUGGGCAUGGUGGCGCAUGCCUAUAAUCCCAGCUACUCGGGAGGCUGAGGCAGGAGAAUCACUUGAACUCAGGAGGUGGAGGUUGUGGUGAGCCGAAAUCGCACCAUUGCACUCCAGCCUGAGCAACAAGAGCGAGACUCUGUCUCAAAAAAAAAAAAAAAAAAAAAAAUCCUUCGGAAGACCUGAAUGAGACCAUCUCUACUGCAUUUUGUGUAGUCCUGGGUCAUGACAGUUGAAAGGUUGCAGAGACAAUUGAGAAGAAAAAGUGGGCAAGAUUGAAGAAUGUGAGCGGUAUCGGUCCUGAAUGCCAGAAAGGGUAAAGGGACAGAAGUCAGCUGUUCAGGAAGAGGAGCUGACUUUGGAUUUCAGUUUCGAGUCCUGGCAAAGCAUCCAGGUAACAUGAUGAAUUCUGGAAAUGAAGCAGGGCUUACAAAUGCACCUUUAGGAAUCUCCUGGUGAAAAUUUCAGGUCAACAGUAAAGGUUUUUGCAGUCUAGUGAGCCACAGGGGACAAUUAAAUCAGGUCUCUAAGGUGGUGACCUACUAACCCACACCUCAUGCCGGCCUUGAAAACUGUCUGAACAGGGCUAGACUGGGGCAAUGGGAGCUGCUACUUUGG
rnacentral:lncRNA from 1 species